rnacentral:rRNA from 1 species
AACGAACGCUGGCGGCGCGCCUAACACAUGCAAGUCGAACGAGAAGGCGUAGCAAUACGCUUGUAGAGUGGCGAACGGGUGAGUAAUACGUGGGUGACCUACCCUCGAGUGGGGAAUAACCCGCCGAAAGGCGGGCUAAUGCCGCGUACGCUUCCGUCCUCACGGGGACGGAAGGAAAGCUGUACCGUGGGUACGGCGCUCAAGGAUGGGCUCACGUCCUAUCAGCUUGUUGGUAGGGUAACGGCCUACCAAGGCUACGACGGGUAGCUGGUCUGAGAGGACGAUCAGCCACACUGGCACUGCGACACGGGCCAGACUCCUACGGGAGGCAGCAGUGGGGAAUCUUGGACAAUGGGCGCAAGCCUGACCCAGCCAUGCCGCGUGGGUGAAGAAGGCCU